GCACUUGUGGCCGAGCGGUCUAAGGCGCCACCUUUAGGCGGUGGUCUUGGAGACAAGGCGCGGGUUCAAAUCCCGUCGAGUGCA
rnacentral:tRNA from 1 species